rnacentral:lncRNA from 1 species
UUUAGGAGUCACUUUAGAAUACAAACCAAAAGACGGGCAAUGCCAAACCAUUUGCUGUGAUGGGGCAGGCGGAGAAUUAACUGUAGAAAGGAAGUGCACUCCAACAGACAAGUGUGAAGGAAUUGAACCUAGCGAAAAAAAGGAGGAUGGACAUUGCCCGGGAGACUCUAAAGGAACUUGCCCCGAUACAUGCGACGACGAAGGAUCCGGAGGUAUCCACAACUCACCAAGCUAUGCUUUAGUUAACCUGCUGGCGAUCGCAACGUUCACAAAAACGAUAUUCUUUUAAAGGACCAAGUAUGGAAACAGACUAUAGCCUUGCAAAAGAACAGUUGAAACACAAGAUUGAUCAGGUGGAACGAAUACGUCUUACAAAAACAGUAGCCAAAGGUGUGCGAGGUUUCGUACAACACUCCUUAAUUCUGGAUUCCUUUCAAAACGGGGAGACUCGAGAUAUUAGUAAGGGUGAUACAGUAGAAGAACGUUAGCAAGUUAUCUUUCAAACAUCGUCGUUUAGUCAAAGGGCACCAAGGAUUGCCGGUUGACUGAUUUUCAACUAAGGUUAAAAUACUAACGGUUUUAGAGUGUACAGUCAUGUAUUCUGCACGGCAAGUAACGUAUGUUAUCUCUAGUUAGCACACUAGAAGUAUUAACUUGUUAUUAAAAGUUGAUUAAAAUGUAAAUUAGAGCAGGCAAUUUUAUAUCUAAGUAACCAAAAGUGUGUCAGAUUAAAAUGUAGAUUAGUUCAGUUCAUUUUAUAUCUGAGUAAACAAAAGUGUGCGAGAUUUAAAUGUAGAUUACUGAGAGCAGUUAAUUUUAUAUCUAAGUACCAUAAAUGUGUAAAUCUAUGCAUUGCAAAUUCAUUCAUGAAGCAAGAUGGGGUCGACAUGGGUGAUGAGUAAUGAAGGCGAACGGAUUUCGUCAGUUUACAAGAUGAUUAACUAACACCUGACAAAAUCUUGUGAUAAACCCCGGCAGUAUUUUUGCUGACAACUGGGAAACUGCCACGUUUUGUAGUGUAAGAAUUUCCCAGUCAAGCCUGCGAUGAAAUUAUUUCAAGAAACGUUGACGCAUAAAAGGGUUAAGUCUACGCUAGUAUAAAGAAAAUCAGUUGUUUUUAUUAUUUUCUUAUGUCGAAUACUACUCAUCGCAUAAAAGAUCUUUUGGUACGUUACAGUAUAUAGAUUUUUUGGAAAAUUUUCCGCCCAUACCUGGUGUAGGCUUAAGUUGUUUAUCCGACGUUUCUUUUUGCUUUUUCACAUAGCUGUUCGCUAUUUUAGUUUUUCCUUCAGGAUGAAGAAAUAUCAUUAAUUGUUCCACACUGUACUUACUGAGAGAACGUAUCUCAUUUCAGUACUCGAUGUAAACAGGUAAAUUUGUACUAGAAUAUUAUAUUAGCCUACAUGUAUCACCCACUGAACAUUUUGUAAAACAUUAAAAGCUCAGAUAUCCAUUUAAUAAAAGAGUGUGUACAAG